rnacentral:rRNA from 1 species
UAGAAUUCCACGUGUAGCGGUGAAAUGUGUAGAGAUGUGGAGGAAUACCGGUGGCGAAGGCGGCCUUCUGGACAGAUACUGACGCUGAGAUGCGAAAGCGUGGGGAGCAAACAGGAUUAGAUACCCUGGUAGUCCACGCUGUAAACGAUGUCGAUUUGGAGUUUGUUGCCUAGAGUGAUGGGCUCCGAAGCUAACGCGAUAAAUCGACCGCCUGGGGAGUACGGCCGCAAGGUUAAAACUCAAAUGAAUUGACGGGGGCCCGCACAAGCGGUGGAGCAUGUGGUUUAAUUCGAUGCAACGCGAAGAACCUUACCUGGUCUUGACAUCCACAGAAUCUUGCAGAGAUGCGAGAGUGCCUUCGGGAACUGUGAGACAGGUGCUGCAUGGCUGUCGUCAGCUCGUGUUGUGAAAUGUUGGGUUAAGUCCCGCAACGAGCGCAACCCUUAUCCUUUGUUGCCAGCGAUUCGGUCGGGAACUCAAAGGAGACUGCCGUUGAUAAAGCGGAGGAAGGUGGGGACGACGUCAAGUCAUCAUGGCCCUUACGACCAGGGCUACACACGUGCUACAAUGGCGUAUACAAAGGGAGGCGACCUCGCGAGAGCAAGCGGACCUCAUAAAGUACGUCUAAGUCCGGAUUGGAGUCUGCAACUCGGCUCCAUGAAGUCGGAAUCGCUAGUAAUCGUGAAUCAGAAUGU